GAGGAGUUAGCUGAGUGGUUUAGCAAUAAUUUUACACAUUAUGGACAGAGGUUCGAAUCCUCUACUCUUUA
rnacentral:tRNA from 1 species